AUACGUAGGGGGCAAGCGUUAUCCGGAUUUACUGGGUGUAAAGGGAGCGUAGGCGGCAAGGCAAGUCUGAUGUGAAAACCCGGGGCUCAACCCCGGGACUGCAUUGGAAACUGCUUAGCUAGAGUGUCGGAGAGGUAAGUGGAAUUCCUAGUGUAGCGGUGAAAUGCGUAGAUAUUAGGAGGAACACCAGUGGCGAAGGCGACUUACUGGACUGUAACUGACACUGAGGCACGAAAGCGGUGGGGAGAC
rnacentral:rRNA from 1 species